rnacentral:rRNA from 1 species
UACGUAGGGGGCGAGCGUUGUCCGGAUUUAUUGGGCGUAAAGAGCGUGUAGGCGGUUCGGUAAGUCUGUCGUGAAAUCCUGAGGCUCAACCUUGGACGUGCGAUGGAUACUGCCGGGCUAGAGGAUGGUAGAGGCAGAUGGAAUUCCGGGUGUAGCGGUGGAAUGCGUAGAGAUCCGGAAGAACACCAGUGGCGAAGGCGACUUUCUGGCCUAUAACUGACGCUGAGGCGCGAAAGCGUGGGGAGCAAACAGGG